CCAGUAACCUCCCAGUGAGCUCCCAGUAACCCCCAGUGAGCUCCCAUGAGCUCCCAGUGAGCUCCCAGUGAGCUCCCAGUAACCCCCAGUGACCUCCCAGUAACUCCCAGUAACCACCAGUGGCCCUCCCAGCAAAAUCUGGAGCCUCGCAGUAACUCCCAGUAACUCCCAGUAGCUCCCAGUAGCUCCCAACAACCCCCAGCAGCCCUCCCAUAGCUCCCAGUAGCUCCCAGUAGCUCCCAGUGCCGCCCACCUUCUUGUCGGAUUUCUUCUCGCG